GACAACAUAAAGUUUAGGGCAAUGGCCAUGCAACAGCAUGAAUUUUGUGAACAGUGUUGCCAUAUCUGUUUAGAAUUUAGACAUGAAUUUAGACCUUGUUUAAAAUGUUUUUUUUUAUAAUUUAGGCCCGGUCUUUUCACCUCCGAAUAAAUAUGCUCUUAUCUGGCAGUUAGCUAUCUGGAGGAUAAAUAUUUAUUCGCCAGAUAAAAUGUACCCGUCUUUUCACGUCAAUUUAUGUUCCAGUUAGUUAUCCGGUAGAUAAGCUUAAAACUUUAACUUAACCUAACAUAAUUAGAUUCACAUAAUCAAGACCAAGAUGAUUUUCUCGAUUUUAUUUCCAUUUUGGAAGAAGGAAAUAAAGAAAACAUUAUGGUGAAAAAGUUUACUGGAGAACUUGAACAAGAGGUAAAUAAAUUUUAAAUUAGUGGAAAACUGUUGAUUUGUAUGUAAAGAAGACAAAGACAAGUUUAAAUAAAGACAAGCUAGCUAAUGAAACAGAUGCAGUGGUAAUUUUGUUUACAUAAUUAAUAAUUUUAACAUAUUAUAUUAUUAAUAUCUAUUAACUGUUCAAUGAUGUAAAAAUUUGUUAAUGUGGGGAAAACUUUUAUUUAAAUUCAAUACUAUAUUUCUGUAGUGGUAAGGCAAAAAUUUGAUUUUAUGUCCGAUUUUAGCCAGAAUGAGAUUAUUUGCUUGAUAUGCUAUUUAGUAAAAUUUCUUCAAGAUGGUGGAGUUUGGUAUGUGUAUGAUGAAGGUAAAAACCCCUUUGUUCCACAUAUCUUUUGUAUAAAAGUUAUGUCCCCUUUUAUUAGUAGAACCCCGAUUAUCUGGGUGGGCUUUCUAUUACUCAAGUUGCAUUUUUGAGGUUUUAUCAAAAUAGCGUCAUCGUAAAUCACUUGACUCUAUAUGACGAAAGAGAGACUCAUAAUGAAAGAUUUAUUUUUUUCUGUUAUCUCUUUAUAGUAGGUACAUAAUAAUAUCUAUGUAUACACAUACAUAUUAUGUAUGUGUAUACGUACGUAUUAUACAUAAUAUGAAAUACAUGUUCGGAUUAUCCGUGCUUUUCAAUUAUCAGUGCCACCUUCGGUCCUGAGGAGCACGGAUAAUCGGGGUUCUACUGUAUUAGGUAGGCCAGAACUUGAUAUAUUACUUGAUUUCUUAUGUUGAUUACUUUUCGUUUUUGGGUUGGCAAAACAUGAUUCAAACUUUCAAAAUGCUCUCCUGAAAAAUUAGGCUAGAUGGACAUAUCAAUCAUCGUCAAAACGCUACAGAUUUAUAAUCCAUCCAACUGGUAUAUUGAAUAGUAAACUAGGGAAAUAACCAACUAAGUAUAUCAAAACACAAUAUUUUUAAAGAUUGGAUAAUUUACAUUACAUGGUAACUUGAAGAAUCCCAAUAACAACAAUAAAACCUAAUUUUAAUAUUUGUUAGUAGAUACCUUUCACUUUUCUAAAUAAAA
rnacentral:lncRNA from 1 species